rnacentral:rRNA from 1 species
CCUACGGGAGGCAGCAGUAGGGAAUCUUCCACAAUGGGCGAAAGCCUGAUGGAGCAACGCCGCGUGGGUGAAGAAGGUCUUCGGAUCGUAAAACCCUGUUGCUAGAGAAGAAAGUGCGCGAGAGUAACUAUUUACGUUUCGACGGUAUCCAACCAGAAAGCCACGGCUAACUACGUGCCAGCAGCCGCGGUAAUACGUAGGUGGCAAGCGUUAUCCGGAUUUAUUGGGCGUAAAGGGAACGCAGGCGGUCCUUUAAGUCUGAUGUGAAAGCCUUCGGCUUAACCGGAGUAGUGCAUUGGAAACUGGGAGACUUGAGGGCAGAAGAGGAGAGUGGAACUCCAUGUGUAGCGGUGAAAUGCGUAGAGAUAUGGAAGAACACCAGUGGCGAAAGCGGCUCUCUGGUCUGUAACUGACGCUGAGGUUCGAAAGCGUGGGUAGCAAACAGGAUUAGAUACCCCAGUAGUC